rnacentral:rRNA from 1 species
CGCACGGGUGAGUAACACGUAUCCAACCUGCCGUCUACUCUUGGACAGCCUUCUGAAAGGAAGAUUAAUACAAGAUGGCAUCAUGAGUCCGCAUGUUCACAUGAUUAAAGGUGUUCCGGUAGACGAUGGGGAUGCGUUCCAUUAGAUAGUAGGCGGGGUAACGGCCCACCUAGUCUUCGAUGGAUAGGGGUUCUGAGAGGAGGGUCCCCCACAUUGGAACUGAGACACGGUCCAA